UAGGAUUCCGUAUUGCUAAAUUGGAAUGGCGCGACAUAAAAAGCCGAAACCACUCAAUACCUGCUAAUUGUUUUUCUGAAUUUUAUGUGGAAGUGCAGUUUUUUCGGCGAAGGAAUAAGCCAAAGAUCGUAUGUUCAUUGGAAUUGUGGCAAAACCACAGCCCUCGAUUUCGUGGAUGUACAGAACUAGUUUGUCUUCGUUAUUCCUUCCUAGAGAAUACUCCGGGACAAGUCCAUGUUUUCUGACGUCACCAUUUUAUAUUCUAUGUUUCAAAAUGCGGACAGGAGCCCAUAUUUUCUUUCAGUCUCUCUUCAUUUUGAGCUUCUAUUUUCGAAUUUAAUGGCCAAUUGCAGAACCUUCUCAGUGCAAUUGGCACGAUUGGAUGUACGAAGUCGAUUACGAGGCAUUCUGGAAAAUUUUAAUUCCUUCAGAACAUGUAAUAAUUUAUGAAAACCUGCAUAAAAUUGUAUUAUAUGA
rnacentral:lncRNA from 1 species